rnacentral:rRNA from 1 species
UACAGAGGGUGCAAGCGUUGUUCGGAAUUACUGGGCGUAAAGGGCGCGUAGGCGGCCUGCUAAGUCACACGUGAAAUCCCUCGGCUCAACCGGGGAACUGCGUGUGAUACUGGCGGGCUUGAAUUCGGGAGAGGGAUGUGGAAUUCCAGGUGUAGCGGUGAAAUGCGUAGAUAUCUGGAGGAACACCGGUGGCGAAGGCGGCAUCCUGGACCGAGAUUGACGCUGAGGCGCGAAAGCUAGGGGAGCAAACGGG